rnacentral:tRNA from 1 species
UGUUUUGUGGCUUAGUGGGAAAUGCACCGGACUAGCGGAAUCGUGGAUUCGAAUCCCACCUAAACAA